AGCGAACGCUGACGGCAGGCCUAACACAUGCAAGUCGAACGGAUCCUUCGGGAUUAGUGGCGGACGGGUGAGUAACACGUGGGAACGUGCCCUUUGGUUCGGAACAACUCAGGGAAACUUGAGCUAAUACCGGAUGUGCCCUUCGGGGGAAAGAUUUAUCGCCAUUGGAGCGGCCCGCGUCUGAUUAGCUAGUUGGUGAGGUAAAGGCUCACCAAGGCGACGAUCAGUAGCUGGUCUGAGAGGAUGAUCAGCCACAUUGGGACUGAGACACGGCCCAAACUCCUACGGGAGGCAGCAGUGGGGAAUCUUGCGCAAUGGGCGAAAGCCUGACGCAGCCAUGCCGCGUGAAAGAUGAAGGUCUUAGGAUUGUAAAAUUCUUUCACCGGGGACGAUAAUGACGGUACCCGGAGAAGAAGCCCCGGCUAACUUCGUGCCGGCCGCCGCCGUAAUAC
rnacentral:rRNA from 1 species